AACAUCUAGUGGCUUUUGAUCCAGUGGCAGACUUUGAUUUGUGAGAUACAUUUGAUAUGCUGUCCAGUGGUCCAACGUUUGAUUGUGCAAUUUCUCUUUUCCACGUUUCAACAUCUUACAUGAAAUAAUUCAAAUGUAUUAUUCAGGGUUCAUACCAGUCAUAUUAAUCAUUUUCCCAUUCCUCUUCUGAUAAGAAAUCUUGCACAAAGUUGUGAGCAUUUUUAAAUUAAUCCACAGCUUCUUUAAGUACUUCAAAAUCAUCAUUGACUUUAUCAGCAUUUCCAACAUCAGUCAUCAAAUACUUUAUUUCAUUUAGCCUUCUCGUGCACGCGCCCAGUCUGCCUCUGCGCGAAGCAAUGCGCGUUCUCAGCAUGUCGUCAGCCUCAGCUGCGGUCUCAGGUGUGCCAGACAUCAUUCCAAAUAAUCACACAGCUCAAUUUAAUUUACACUUAGUUCAUCGUUUUUGUUCAUUCCUAAACGUCCUUACAACAUUUGCAUUUCACGUCCACAAUCUGCAAAUUUCCUUUCCAUAGCGUUCGGAUGAUUCCAUACAGCGCAGCGGCGCGUUCAUUCAUUCAUUCAUUCAUUCAUGAUGUCCAUCAGCUGAUUUUACUCACGGCCUACCGGUGUUGUGCCCAGGGGCGUCGCCAGACAUAUUUCAGUGGGGCACGUGCCCCACUGUUGAUCUGCAGUGCCCCAGUAAAAAUUUCCCCAAUAAAAAAGAAAACGCUUCAGAGUUUUAAGUCUACAUAACAUAGACAACAGCGCACAUACUACCUAGUAUGGUAAUUGUUUGCUACUGUAUUCACUCCACGAAACAGUGAGCACAUAGCUACUUAAUAUGGUAAUUUAUUCACGUGUGGAUCGAGACUUCGGUUGAGAGAGAGAGAGAGAGGGAGAGAGAGAGAGGGGCGAUGCGAAUCACUGCUGAGAUGGAUAUCAGAAAGUUAUUCGCCCGCAGCAGGGAGGAAGCAGCAGGAAUGAGAGAUUUGCAGAUGUGCUGCCAGUCAUCGGAGCCCACCUGCUUCCAAUCAACAACCUGACUUCAACCCUGGAUCUCCACCCAGCCAGGCCAGUUCGUCCGUUGCCUGCGAUGGUGGACAGACUUUUGACCCGGUUUUCCUGUAGGUGAUUUUUCGUUACUAAAGAUUUAUUUUCUCCAGUGACUUUUUGUUAUUAAAUAUAGAUUUUUUACUGAUUUGCACUUGGAUUCUUUUUUUUUUUUAAACCACAACGGGCGCUAAGCUUGGUGUCAUCCAGGAUGAGCAAACGGUUGUUGACGUCAUAGCUUUCGAACUCUGACUCGUCCUUCUGAACUUUGUCCUUUUUUAAAUUCUCCUCCUUGGUGGUCUUCUCCUUGUCAACUUUGAGAUCUUUUUUUUAUCUUUGUCUGUCUAUUAGUGAUGGGUUGAUGAGGCGUCAUGUAUCAUUUCGACACAUUGCAAAACUGUAUUGAUACUGUGUCAAUACUGUGUCACUAAAUACUGACAUCUGCUGGACAUUAAAAAUCCCUACAGGCAACCUAUGGACCGACUCAACUGACACUGAUUUUAUGACCUACUAAUAUAAACCAAGUCAUUGUAUUUCAUUUAGGAUUAUCUCAUAUUUUUAUCUUUUUUAGAUACAGUCAAUGAAUAAUGUGAACAUGUAUCAUAACCUGGAAAUCUAAG